GAAUGCCGCAACCUCUCCUCUCUAGCAAUCUUUACUGAAGAUGUGGAAUCAAUACUAGAGGAAAAGCAGCCCCCCUGCGUUCUUACCUCUCUUAAAAUUGACAAUCUUCAGAGUCUGGAGUCUCUUAAUUAUGGAGUUCUUGAACACCUUACACAUUUUGGAGAUUUCGAACUGCACUAACCUCCUGUACAUGCCAGAAUGCAACCAAUUCCUUCUCCCUUCUCUUGUUUAUCUGUGUAUAAAUAAUUGUCCGCAACUCAAAUCAAUUCUGAAAGGGGGUUUGCCUUCCAAAUUUCAUUCACUUUACAUCCAUAACUGCAACAAAGUCGUGGAUGGCCUCAUGCAACUGGAUUUACGAUUACUGCCACUCUUUCAGGAAUUAACAGUUGGUGGGAGCAACUAUGUGGAAUUACCAGAAGAGACGCUGCUGCCUU
rnacentral:misc_RNA from 1 species